rnacentral:rRNA from 1 species
GAUGAACGCUAGCGGCAGGCUUAACACAUGCACGUCGAGGGGCAGCAUAAAUAGUAGCAAUACUAUUGGUGGCGACCGGCGGACGGGGGCGUAACGCGUAUACAACCUUCCCUAAACAGGGGGAUAAUCUGGAGAAAUUCGGUCUAAUACCCCAUAACAUCAGAGCAGGCAUCUGUUUUGGUUAAAAUUUCCGGAGGUUUAGGAUGGGUAUGCGUAGCAUUAUCUCGUUGGUGAGGUAACGGCUCACCAAGGCGACGAUGCUUAGGGGGACUGAGAGGUUCACCCCCCAAACUGGUACUGAGACACGGACCAGAAUCCUACGGGAGGCAGCAGUGAGGAAUAUUGGUCAAUGGGCGGAAGCCUGAACCAGCCAUGCCGCGUGCAGGAUGACGGCUCUAUGAGUUGUAAACUGCUUUUGUACGAGGGUAAAGUGGGCUACGUGUAGCCUUUUGAAAGUAUCGUACGAAUAAGGAUCGGCUAACUCCGUGCCAGCCGCCGCGGUAA